UCGUGGAAAUGCUGGGGGCUGUUUGCCCACCCGUGGCGGCGCUGCCAGCUCUCCUCUCCUGUGCCUGGGUACCUGCAGGAGCUCCUUGCUCUUCCCUCGAGAACAUGACGCCCGUUUUCCUCUCCACCACAGCUCAGGGACGCAGCCCUUUUGGCGAGCAGUUUUACCUGUGGGUGCUGGUGGCACUGGUUGUGCAAUGGGGGAUUGCCCUGGAGAAGUGUUCUCUGAACAGCCACAGUCGUGUCUCUCACCUCUCUGCCUUGCUCGAGCCCUCCUGGAGGCAGCCUGCUCUUCCUGGGAAGGAUUUGUGAAGCAAAACGUCAAACCAUGGAGGGUGCUUCGAAGGAAAGCCACCUGGAGGACAGAGGGGACAGCCAGCACCGCUGUCACGCACAGAUGUCUCGGACACCCGAGCGGGUUCAUCCACGCUGCGGUCGUGGAGCUGCCUGGGGACAGCUGGGAAGGGACAGAUCGCCUUUCAUCUCCAUCCUGUGCCUGGUUUAGUCAAGAAGGACACCGGUGCAUCUUCUGGGCCAUAAAUCACUCUAAUGGCUGGGGUUGGAGACUGCAGAUCUGGGCGCUGAGGUUGGGUUACGUGUGCCAGCGAUCACCUCUGCAGCAGGAAAGGCGUUCGUGCACGUGUACCCUGUGUAUGGGUGCGCACAGGAUAAAGCCGUUGAGUGGGCUCUGGCUAAAAAAUUAGGCUGUUUUCAUCCUGAGCUUUGUGCCUCGCGGCUGUUAUUCUGGCAGAGAGGAAUGGGAACGGCAACAGGCUCAUACUUACAACAGGGGAGUGACUGAGGCUUCAUCGA